rnacentral:rRNA from 1 species
GUGGGGAAUAUUGCACAAUGGGCGAAAGCCUGAUGCAGCAACGCCGCGUGAGGGACGACGGCCUUCGGGUUGUAAACCUCUUUUAGUAGGGAAGAAGCGAAAGUGACGGUACCUGCAGAAAAAGCACCGGCUAACUACGUGCCAGCAGCCGCGGUAAUACGUAGUGUGCAAGCGUUAUCCGGAAUUAUUGGGCGUAAAGAGCUCGUAGGCGGUCUGUCGCGUCUGCUUUGAAAACUGGAGGCUCAACCUCCAGCCUGCAGUGGGUACGGGAAGACUAGAGUGCGGUAGGGGAGAGUGGAAUUCCUGGUGUAGCGGUGGAAUGCGCAGAUAUCAGGAGGAACACCGAUGGCGAAGGCAGAUCUCUGGGCCGUAACUGACGCUGAGGAGCGAAAGCGUGGGGAGCGAACAGGAUUAGAAACCCUUGUAGUCC